GAUGAAGAACGUAGCGAAAUGCGAUAAGUAAUGCGAAUUGCAGAAUUCAGUGAAUCAUCGAAUCUUUGAACGCACAUUGCGCCCGCCAGUAUUCUGGCGGGCAUGCCUGUCUGAGCGUCGUUUCGACCCUCGCGCCCGGCUUCUGUCGGGGGCGGUGUUGGGGAUCGGCCACACCCUUCAGUGGGAGGCCGGCCCCUAAAUUCAGUGGCGACCACGCUGUAGCCUCCCCUGCGUAGUACUAAAACCGCCUCGCAGGCGGAGAGCGGUGCGGCCCGCCGUAAAACCCCCCAACUUUUACAAGGUCGACCUCAGAUCAGGUAGGAAUACCCGCUGAACUUAAGCAUAUCAAUAAGCGGAGGA
rnacentral:misc_RNA from 1 species